AGUGAACGCUGGCGGUAGGCCUAACACAUGCAAGUCGAACGGCAGCACAGGAGAGCUUGCUCUCUGGGUGGCGAGUGGCGGACGGGUGAGGAAUACAUCGGAAUCUACUCUGUCGUGGGGGAUAACGUAGGGAAACUUACGCUAAUACCGCAUACGACCUACGGGUGAAAGCAGGGGACCUUCGGGCCUUGCGCGAUUGAAUGAGCCGAUGUCGGAUUAGCUAGUUGGGGGGGUAGAGGCCCACCAAGGCGACGAUCCGUAGCUGGUCUGAGAGGAUGAUCAGCCACAAUGGAACUGAGACACGGUCCAGACUCCUACGGGAGGCAGCAGUGGGGAAUAUUGGACAAUGGGCGCAAGCCUGAUCCAGCCAUACCGCGUGGGUGAAGAAGGCCUUCGGGUUGUAAAGCCCUUUUGUUGGGAAAGAAAUCCAGCUGGCUAAUACCCGGUUGGGAUGACGGUACCCAAAGAAUAAGCACCGGCUAACUUCGUGCCAGCAGCCGCCGUAA
rnacentral:rRNA from 1 species